AUGUCUGAAGUUUGGCCUCUCCCAUGUUUAUCUACCCUGCAAAAUAACAGGGAUGAGUGGCUGUUGCAUGCGCUUGAACCGCUACAGGAGAUUGAGAGAUCUAUGUUAUUGCUAUCCAUGUGGAGGGUAUGGCAUAUACGCAAUGAGGUCGUACACCAUAAACCAGCCCCGCCUAUGGAAGCGUCGAAAAGAUUCUUGGUAAGCUAUUUGGACUCUCUGAUUGGUAUUAAAAUUGAUCUCUCUACUGAUCCACGCAAAGGCAAGUCUACCAUCACAUAUGAAAGACGGAGUCCACAUAUGAUAAUGGAAAAAAAGGUUACUAAGUGGUCAGCGCCAAAGUCCGGAUGGGUGAAGCUUAAUGCUGAUGGGUCUUUUGCGGACGACGGAACAGCUGGCGCUGGAAUGGUCCUACGUGAUGAUAAGGGAGCGAUAAUUUUUUCCUCUUGCAUGCAAUUGUUCUCUUGCCGUGAGGCACUGGAAGCUGAGUUAUGUGCCUGUAUGGAAGGUUUGUCGUUUGCCAUCCAGAGAAGUGAGCUACCGGUCAUCGUGGAAAUGGACUCAAUUGUGGCGGUGAAGAUGAUCCAAGCUUCGGAGGUUGACCGAUCCAUUUACUCGUCCAUCAUAAAGGAGAUUAAAUAUCUUAUGUCUCUUCGUGAAGUUUGUAUUACUCAUGUAAAUCGUAGCCAGAAUAAGGUUAGUGAUAGCUUAGCUAAUUUUGCUCGUAUUGAGGGUAAAACCAUGACUUGGUUGGGCUCUGGACCUCACAUAUCCAUAGAGUUGGCUGCGAUGGACUGUACAAGUGUAGAGAUUGAGUAA
rnacentral:rRNA from 1 species